UUAUUUUUAACAUUACUGUUAGCUUGAUAAACUUGACUCAUCAAAUUCAGUUUAGUCACGAAUUAAUAUUUUUAUAACCGACCAAUAGGUACCUUAACCUUAGGUAUAUGCAUUCAAGGCGAUAUUCCUUUUUAAAGAGCAUUUCAAAAUAUCGAUAAGUUUAACAAAAGCGUUCAGUAAUAAUUUAAUAACAGUGACAGCAUAAAAAUAGUGUAGUCGGUAGUCAAAACUUCAUAUCUAAUUUGUAAACGUUUUUAAAACUAUAUUUUGUUACUAGACGAGAAGAUAUAACGUGACCUAGAUAGUUCUUCACGUAUUUUUAGUUUGCACUUUUUCGAACACAUUUACAAAUACAUAUUCUAAAUUCCGAAUAAUCAACAUUCAUUUACGUGACUACUUAAAUCUUUUUGAAAAGUAAUCCCUCCAUUGCGAAUAAUCCUUGGUACUAGUUGAAAGUUUAAGAUUUCGCAGGCAAACAAAAUAUAUGCAACGAGUACUAGCUUUUAAGCAUUCAAAUUAACCACUAAGAAUUUAUCCCCUGAACAGGUGUAAAUUUUCUAGAUUAGAAAUAUAGCUACAAAACUUAAAAUACAUGGGUUAAGCAAACGGCGCGCAUAAAAGAAUAUCAUUAUAAUAUAAUCAUAUCAUAAGCAAGUAUUAAUUAAGACUGGUUAGCCUAGUCUUUCUAGUAAUGUUAAUAAAAAUACGGUACCAUUUGCUUAUAUUUGUUUAUUAGUUUAGUUAGGUAUUGUUUUUUAAAUUAAUUUUUAGUUGUAAGAUUACUUGACACUCUUUAUUCGCAUGCGGCGUUUACGUUUAGAUUAUUAUUUGUUUAAAAACUUUGUAUUUUUAAUUUUGUAAUUGAUCUAGAUGAUAAAGCUGUUGCUAAACCUAAUAAAAAAAAAAACUAACAAUUUUAGGUUGCUAGAAUGUAUAGACCUGCAUAAAUUCUUAAAGCGAGAUUAGCUGAGAUUAAUCAUACCUGAAUAGAAUGAUAGUUCAAAGACGAAAUCUCUGUUAAAAUAAUACAAAGAGAAUUAGCCGAAAAAACCGAUGAGGUCACAUACUAAGUUUAUAAUACAUAAUGUAUAGACUGUCAUAGGUCUUAAGUAAAUUAAUAUGUACAUGCAAAAUCUGGAUUGGCAUCAGUUGGAAAAAUAAUAUGCGAAGAGUAUAAUAAUAAUAUGGUUUAGAAUAGAGAAUGUAUAUUGCAGAUCAAUAUUGAUUACUAAAUUGAAAUCAGAUACCUAAGUAAGUGUAGAUCGAUAAAAAAUCCAUGUAAUCUUUAAGGUCAGAAAUGGUUAACAAAAUUAGAUUACACUAACAGCGCAUUACAGAUAAGAAAAACAGAAUCAUAAACAAAUUAUAAGAAAGUUGGGCUAGUGGUCAAAUAAAACGGACAGACGAGAAUAGGUUUAAUAUUUCUAUAAUAUCACAUUACAGUUAAGUCUAGUUAGAAAUACAAAUCUACGCCUUGACAUAGUGUAUAUAUGUACUUAGUCUAGAUAAAACAAAAUACGAACAAUGCAGAUUGCAGAUCAAUAUUUAUUUACAAGAAUGAAAUCAGGUAUCGGCAAAAAAUCCGAUUAUUUAGAAUAAUUAGGUGCAACGGCAUUCAAUUUAGCCUCGAGUAAUUUGUAAGAUCUGAAAUAUCUAAUUAAAAUAGGUUAGACUAACGGCGCGCACUACAGAUAAAAAAUAUCACUAUAGUAAUAAUGUGUACUUAAUAAUUAAGAACUGUCUAGUACAAUAGUCAUUAAUUGAGAAUAUGAUUUAAUCACAAUUAAGUCUAAUUGAUAAGAUAUUAUACUACCUACAACUUGAUAAAAUUUAAAAACAAUACAAACUCAUAAUACUCAUUAUACAAAAAGAUACAAUUAACAAUACCUACGACUUGACAAAAAGUUCAUUUAUAAUAUAAAUAAUAUUAAAAAAUAUAUAGUAUAAACAUCUAUGUAUAUAAAUAAGUUAAAAACAAAGAAUACAAACUCAUGUUCCCAAAAGGGUUAUUAGCUUUGGACAUUAAAUAAAGUGUUAAAAUUGAACUAACAACAUUAUUAGAAACUACAUACAUAAUAUUCUAUAGGAAAAUAUUACAAAUGCAAUAGUGAAUUCUGAUCUUAGAAUAGUUGCACCGAGUGCAAAUGUUGGCCUUUAGUUAGCAGUUUAGCACGUCAAUUAUUCUUAGCUUUAAUCAUUAUAUUUAGUAAUAUAGUGUUCAAGUGGUAGAAGAACUAGUAGAUAAAGCAUAACUGAGAACAUACAAUAAUUACUAUAAUACAGGUUUUAAUGAAUAGGUAAAUAAUAUAAUUAAGGGUAGUGCAAUGAACUGCAAGUAAAAAGAUUAAUUUAACAUUAACACAACAUUAAUGUCCCUUUAUUAUUUAAGUCAAUACGUGCCUUAUAUUAAUAUGCCUACAGCAAUGAUCAUACCAUAGAAAAAUUAUACUUUAAUUAACUUAAAUUAGUACUGCAAUAUAGUGCAAUAUACUGCAAUGUAGUGUAAUUGGAGAUAAAUAUGUAAUAAAAUAAUGGCACUCUUCGCUCAUCAGCCACGCAAUUUAAAACAAGCGUAACAAAAAGUAAAAACCCGUCAUAGUUACACCUAAAUAAUGCAGGGCCUAAACAUAGUAGCUAUUCAAUUGUAAGGAGGAUAAACAAUAAUACAAUAUUUUAGGAAUUCAACACUCUGGGCGUGAGUGAUUUAUUUAAAUAGAAUGAGAUGGGAUAGAUAUUAUUACAGAGAGAGAAAAUAUAUAUAAUUCUGUAAUAGGUACAGUAGUGUGAGCAGCGCAUGUAUAGAUCGUAAGGCCGGUUAGGACUACUGUCUUAUAACUUAGGACCUGCAAAUAAAUAAGUGUAGAAAGCACAAUGGUAAAUUUUAGGAGCUAUGAAUUAUACUAUUUAUCUUUUAUCUAAUCAUGAUAAUUUAAUUUUUGAGGUAAUCAACUGUAAAAACAAAAUAGUAAUUUGAAACAUAAGCACAUGCUUUGAGAAUACCAUAUACAAGAUAACGCUCUAGUUCUGGUAGUGAACUGCGCAAAAGUAAAAUGCUUCGUUAGUAUCUCGAAUUAAAACAUUAGGGCAAAUAAGCAAAUAGUAGGCAGGUGUAAUUAGGUUUAAAUAACAAAAUAAUGCUUAUAGGCAACGAUUAGAAAUGCAGAAAGCAAUUAAGUUGAAAAAAUAACUAGAUAAUAAUAUACUACCUGUACUACCUAGGUGUACCUCAAAUGAUUUAAUAAUAUGUACUUUAUGAGGAGGAGAAAAAUAUAUAAUAUUUAUAAUUUAUGUAUUUAUUAGGCUAGGCACAUAGAAACUUAUGUGAUUAAAUAUUAUUAAAUUAAAAAUACGUAAUAUAUUGUAAGUUUAAAUUGGAGACCAUUAAGAAAAUAGUAAAAACACAACGUUCUAAAAUUCAGGAUACUCAAAACUCAUUGAUUUAAGUAGAUAACUGCUUUAGUGAAAUAGACAAAUCCUUUAUUUACACACAAUACAAUUACACUCAAAAAACAAUAAAUUGUAAAAUGCUUACGUGACUAAAAAUUACUAAAAAAUAAAAAUACGUAAUUUAUAUUGUAAGUUUGGAGACAUUUAGACUAGUGUAGCGCAUUAGGAAAAGAAAAUGGCAAUAAGCCAACGUUUCAAAAAUCAAGAUGAUCAAAACUCAGGUUAAGUAGAUAACUGAUUUAGUUAGAUAGAUAAACUCUUUAUAGCUACACAAAACAUUACAUUCGAAAAACAAAACAAAUAGAAUAAAAAUAGGUACGUAAUAUAUUGUAAGUUAAGACAUUUUGUACUAGGAAAAGGAAAUAGCAAUAAGCCAACGUUUCAAAAAUUAAGAUGAUAUAAACUCAGGUUAAGUAGAUAACUGAUAUAGUUAGACAGAUAAACUCUUUAUUGCCACACGAAACAUUAUAUUCGAAAAACAAAACAAAUAGAAUAAAAAUAGGUACGUAAUAUGUUGUAAGCUUAGACAUUUUGUACUAGGAAAAGAAAAUAGCAAUAAGCCAACGUUUUGAAAAUCAAGAUGAUCAAAACUCAGGUUAAGUAGAUAACUGAUUUAGUUAGAUAGAUAAAUUCUUUAUUGCUACACAAAACAUUACAUUCGAAAAACAAAACAAAUAGAAUAAAAUUAGGUACGUAACAUGGUGUAAGUUUAGACAUUUUGUACUACGAAAAGAAAAUAGCAAUAAGCCAACGUUUCAACAAUCAAGAUGAUCAAAACUCAGGUUAAGCAGAUAACUGAUUUAGUUGAUAGAUAAAUUCUUUAUUGCCACACAAAACAUUACAUUCGAAAAUCAAAACAAUUAGAAUAAAAAUAGAUACGUAAUAUGUUGUAAGUAGACAUUUUGUACUAGGAAAAGAAAAUAGCAUUAAGCCAACGUUUCAUAAAUCAAGAUGAUCAAAACUAAGGUUAAGUAGAUAACUGAUUUAGUUAGAUAGAUAAAUUCUGUAUUGCCACACAAAACAUUAUAUUCGAAAAACAAAACAAAUAGAAUAAAAUUAGGUACGUAACAUGGUGUAAGUUUAGACAUUUUGUACUAGGAAAAGAAAAUAGCAUUAAGCCAACGUUUCAACAAUCAAGAUGAUCAAAACUCAGGUUAAGCAGAUAACUGAUUUAGUUGAUGGAUAAAUUCUUUAUUGCCACACAAAACAUUACAUUCGAAAAUCAAAACAAUUAGAAUGAAAAUAGAUACGUAAUAUGUUGUAAGUAGACAUUUUGUACUAGGAAAAGAAAAUAGCAAUAAGUCAACGUUUCAAAAAUCACGAUGAUCAAAACUCAGGUUAAGGAGAUAACUGAUUUAGUUAGAUAGAUAAACUCUUUAUAGCUACACAAAACAUUACAUUCGAAAAACAAAACAAUUAGAAUAAAAAUAGGUACGUAACAUGUUGUGAGUUUAGACAUUUUGUACUAGGAAAAGAAAAUAGCAAUAAGCCAACGUUUCAUAAAUCAAGAUGAUCAAAACUCAGGUUAAGUAGAUAACUGAUUUAGUUAGAUAGAUAAACUCUUUAUAGCUACACAAAACAUUACAUUCGAAAAACAAAACAAUUAGAAUAAAAAUAGGUACGUAAUAUUAUGUUGUAAGUUUAGACAUUUUGUACUAGGAAAAGAAAAUAGCAAUAAGCCAACGUUUUAAAAAUCAAGAUAAACUUAGGUUAAUAAGUAGGUAGAUAACUAUUACGUUAUAUAAAUUUUAUUCUUAAUUGCCAAACUCAACAUGACAUUGAAAAACAAAAGAAACAGAAAAUAAUGUUUGCGAAGGUAAAAAUUAUAAAAAAUUAAGAAAACGAUUCUGUAUUCAAUCUUUAUUAUUUUCUAAUAUCAAUAAAUGAUGACUUAUCUACCAAAUAAAGCUAAUUUAGAUAAUACCAGUUAGGUACUAUAACUUCGAGUAUGUUUGCUACUAUCGUUACCAAAUGCCAAUGUAUUUGUUACCAGUUUGUUUUAACUUAGGGAAUUUUGGUUAAUAUUUUUGAGAUUACCCAUUAUUACGUAAUAGGAGCUUCACAAAGUUAGUCUUUGAGGAUUUUUUUUAAAUACCUUGAUGAAAUCAUAGUUAAGCACUAGUAAGUGACAGAGUGCCAAAUUAUAGUGCAUCAUCAUAUUUUAGUUUAUUUCACAACAUGAACAAAUCGAUGAGUAAGAGUGAGAGAGUAAUAAUAAAGAUUUAACUACUAUCAACCUAUAUAUGCAGUAGUAUAGUCACAGAUUUCAACAUGUUUCGUAAUCUUUUCUUUAAAACGUUUUUAAAAGUACCAAACUUAAAAUUAUUUUGUUGGAUUUUAACUGGUUUUGCUUUAAGAGGUAAUUUUGUUAUACCUACUGUGCGUAAUUUAUAGAGUAAUAUGUUAUAUUUGUUAUAAUAUACAUGAGUAUUCGUAGCUUAAUAGGAUCUGAGUAUAAAUGAGUCUAAACGACAGACAAAAUGUAGAUAAACAAAUAGAAAUGAAGAUGCGAAAAUGUAGAUUCUGAAGAAACUUAAAAAUUCUAUAAAAAUGAAAUAAAACCAUAUGAACCUUAAAAUACGUGAAUAUAUUAUUUUUAUAGUUAUUGAACAUACAAUUUGUUAAAUCGUUAUUUGACAAAUAUGUCUGCGGAUUAAUAAUUGUGAAGAAUCGAAAUUUUCAAAAAAAAAAAAUGGUCUCAAUUACACGCUUCACGCUUAUAGUUGAGUUUAUAUUAUCAGUACAAAACCACCAGCUAAUAAGCUAGAUUAGUAAAGUAAGCUUUAAGCUUGCCAGCAGGUUUGAUUGUAGCCAAGCGCUAUAGGUACUAUAAAAAAAGUGAAUGUGUACUUGGUAGGUAAAUAAUAUCAGCUCUGUAUUUCUGUGUACUCUGUAGCCUAACUUUAUUUCACAAGGUGAGCAAAAUGAGUAAGCGAAUAUCUAUUUAUGAAGAAAUCAACUUAAAUCUACGAAUUCAGAAAGUUUUAUAGUCUGCUUGUAGUUCUUAUUUCAACAGGUUUCGAAGGUUUAUACGAAGAGAGAUACUAAAGAUAUUCUAAAGAACGAAUUUGUUGAAAGGAAUUAUUCAACAGAAGAAAAACAUGAUUGUCUAGUUAUGGUGGGUUUCACAACACCUAUGUCGACGAAUUGGUGAUCAAAUUAAACUAUUUAAACGUUAGCCGCGUCUGUAACUUGCUUGGAUAAAUAUUUUUAGUAAGCUUUAUUUAUAUGAUUAGAGAGAGGACAAAGAAAAGACAAUAGAACACUACAAAUUGGUGAUUACUGAUUACGAGAAACUAUUAUGUUAAUAGUCAGUUUUGAUAUUAAGUUAAUCGUUAUAAAUGAAAUAAUAAAUAGCAGGAUAAAAAAUCAUGAGUCUUAAUUGUAGGCAAAUUAUUGAUAUAUUGAAUGUUAAAGUAAGUCACUUGGUGAUAAUAUCGUACCCAAAAGGAAACUAUUCACAAAUUCUAAGCAAUCAGUAAUUAGUAUACAUUAUGAAUUCAGAAUAAAAUAUACAAAGAAAGAAAACAUAAAGGUAUUUAUGAUGGGUAGUGGUUGGUUUCAUUGAUGUAGGAGGAAUGUUGAAAGUGAAACUAUUCAAAAGUUAACAAUAGUCUUGUUUGCGUUCAUUUACGUUUUCAAAGAGAAAUAACAAAUAGGUACACGUAAAGGGACUUCACGAACUCAUGAAACACAAUAAAAGAUAUAACUACCGAUAGAUUCAUAAGGAAGUAAAUUGUUGAAAGAAAGAAUGAAACAUGAUUAGCUAGUUAGUAGUAAGUAGUGGUAGAUAAUUUUACAAUUAGUUAGUCAUGAAAUGAAACUAUUUAUAACCUUAUCUGUUAAUUUCAUAGGUAACACUGUUAAUAAACUUCACAUUUACAAAGAGAUGAUAAGAAAAGACAAUAAUUUAAUUACGUGAAGGACUUUAAUACUUUAUAUGAAUUAACAAAUUGGUGAAUCAACGAAAGUAUUUAUUCAAAAUUGGCUAAUAGUCAUAUUCGUUAAUGUUUAUAGUUAAAAAAAUAUAAACGACACUGGGCUUUAGUAAGGAAUAGGAACGAUUGAAACAAUAUAUGAAUUGCCGUGCCGGAUAUAAAAUUCGCGAGUCCUUACGUAGGUAAAUUACUGAUAUAUUUAAUGUUAAACAAAAUAAAUUGUUGACAAUACAGUAUGAAAAAAUCACACAUGAAUAAAACAAACAAUAUGCAUUAUGAGUUCAGAACAAAAUUAAGAAGGAAAAACAUAAAAAUGGUGGGUAGUUGUUUUCACAAUACUGUUAGCAAAUUGGUGAUCAAAUUAAACUAUUUGAAGUUAACAAUAGUCUUGUUUGUGUUCAGUUAGUAUUACACGUAUAUCAUAGACACUAGAUAAUAAAAGACGAAUAAUAGCUACAUGUAAAGAGACUUCACAAACUAAUGAAACAUAAAAAGAUAUAUUUAUAAACAUUAGACAUGGAUUCUAAGAAAGAGUAAAAUGUUCAAAGAAAAAGGAAAACAUUAAUGGCAAUGGUAGUUAAUUUGUAGUAGAGGUAGAUGAUUUUACAAUAUUAAGUUAGCCUUUGCUUAAAUUGUUUAAAUAGUUAAUAUUGUUAGUAAGCUUUAUAUGAAUAAAGAGAUGAUUAAGAAAAGACAAAAAUAAAUACGUAAACUUACUAAUAUGAUAAUAAUUCAAAUAUUAAUUCAAAUAAUUGGCGAAUAUUCAAAAUUAAACAAUAGUCAUGUUUGUUUGUACUAGCGUAAAUAUUGAGAUUAUAUUAAGAUUACAAAUGGCACAGUUUAAAUAGGAAAUAGGAAUAACUAAAACAGUUUAUAUAUAAAUUGACGUUUACUGCAGAUAAAUUAGUGAUAACUAAUAACAUAUAAGUUAAUUGGUGACAAUACUGUAAACAAAAUAAAAAUACAAAUUCAGUACAAUCAGUAGGUAAUACAAAUAUUUAACAAUUAUUGUAGGUUAUCACGUCAUAGUAUAUAUUACCUAUAGUCUAGUUAUAAGGUUAUAAUUGAAAGAAAAAAUGUUCCGGGAACAGUGAACGACUAAUCAUACGUAAAUAGAUAACACAACGUGUCUUGAUUUAAAAAAUGCACUCAAAAGUAAAACUACAACAAUAGUACCUAGGUAGUUGAGAUUUCACAUAAAUAAUGAAAUGAAACUAAAAUUAAAGGAACUUUCUACAAUAAAUUAUUUAUAUUUAUACGUACUCGUAGAGCUUAGAUAAUAUUAUUGUUAGAAAGCUUAUAUUAAUAAGUACUAGACAAUAAAGAAGUCUUUGUAUCAAUUGGCACUACAAGAUACAAGCAAAAUGCAUAAGCCAUGUAUAGAUUUUUUAUAUUUUUCAAUUGUAGCCAAUAAACAUGUUUAUUUGUAUUUUUAUGUAGAAAUGUAAAUAAGAAAGGCAUUUGUUUUACAUAAGAAAACAGUAAUUUUUAGAUGGGUAAUUUUGAGGUAAUUUCUACACAUUACGUGACAUAAAAGUAACGAACCCUUAUUAUUAAUUAAUUAGGUAAAGCAAAUUGGUUAGACGCAAUAUGUGAGAAUUCAGGAAAGUCGGAACAAAUACCUACUAUAAGCUUUAUAUCGAUGAUCGAAGAUGAUAAAGAAAAAGACAAUGAAUGACAUGAAUUUAUUAUUCUAUGUUUUAGUUUUUAGGUAAAUUCUAAUAAAACAUUUAUCUUACAAAAGAAGGUCAACUAGGUACAUGUUAUAUUUAUAGUUAGUGAGUUGAUAAGAAAUCUAUUGACUUCUUAUACAUAUAAGAAAAAACAGAACGCCUGAAACUAUAUAUUUAUUUUAUUCAAGGAUAAUAUAAAAAUCAGGAGCAGCGAUAUACUUUUUAAUUUAUAUUAUUUGAAGUACGAUAUAAGUUAUAAAUGAAGCUAAGAUAAACAUCAUACAUAAGACAUUUAGAACAAAUACUCUAUAAGUCUAGGUUAUUAAUACAAUCAUAUCAAAACCGUAGUCUAGUUGUAAGAUAACAGGAUGCAACGUAAUUAGGAACCAAACUGAUAUAGUACUGAAAUAGAUUUUAUAUAGUCAGAUUGUAUAUUAAGAACAAGGAAAUAAAAGAAGAAAUAAAAGUAACCGUAAAUAUAGGUAGUUAAUUUCACAAUACAUAUUAUUAUGUCGACAAAGUGGUGAUAAAUCAUACCUUAGGUACCUAAAGCUUAAUGGUCUAGUUUGUAAAUAAGUAGUUGAGGUAAUAUUGUCAGUUAGCUAACAAAACGUUGCGUUAAGACUUCAAAAUAUGACACAGUUAAAUAAGCGAAAGUUUUCAAAAUUAAAAAAUAAAUAAAUUUCAGUUUUAAAUUUUUUAUUGUGAAUUUGGGUUACCUAGUUUACAGAUCUUAAUAUUGUUAGGUUCUGCCAAAUUCUACCUUAUGCCAUGCAAUAAUACAGUCAAUGUUGUCAUUAAAUUAAUAUUACUAUAGCAUUCUCAUUAACAUUCAUCAGUAUCAUUAACUACAGAGUAUCUACUUUGUACGAGCUGAAACAUAAAAGGGAGGAAGCUAAUAGUUGAAAGAUGAACUGUAAAUUAAUAAUAGCACAAGUAAACUCAUAGAAUUUAAAAAAAUUAGCCAAGAAAGGUCUUUGUUGGUAUAGUACAGUAAUCAUUAUUGAUUAUUAUAUUAAAGCUUUGGUAAAGUAGUUUUUCCAGAUAAAAAUAUGUAGUAGGUACGUAAUGUAAUCUUAAACCACAGUUAGGUGUCAAGUUACAUAUAAAAGCAGAAAAUUGUAAUAUUAUCUUAUGAAAGUGAUCUCAUAAUAUAAUAUUAUAGGUUUUCCAUAAAAACUUCAUACAGAGGCUUCAUAAAAGAUUACCCCCCAACGUCUAUCGUUUCGUCGUAACUCGUAGUGCCCUGCCCAAAAUAAAA